UCCUACGGGAGGCAGCAGCAGGGAAUAUUGCACAAUGGGCGAAAGCCUGAUGCAGCGACGCCGCGUGCGGGAUGAAGGCCUUCGGGUUGUAAACCGCUUUCAGGAGGGACGAAAAUGACGGUACCUCCAGAAGAAGGCCCGGCCAACUACGUGCCAGCAGCCGCGGUAAUACGUAGGGGCCAAGCGUUGUCCGGAUUUAUUGGGCGUAAAGGGCUCGUAGGCGGUUUGACAAGUCGGUCGUGAAAACCCGGGGCUCAACCCCGGGACGCCGGUCGAAACUGUCAUGACUAGGGUCCGGUAGAGGUGAGUGGAAUUCUCAGUGUAGCGGUGAAAUGCGCAGAUAUUGAGAGGAACACCAGUAGCGAAGGCGGCUCACUGGGCCGGUACCGACGCUGAGGAGCGAAAGCGUGGGGAGCAAACAGGAUUAGAUACCCUGGUAGUCCACGCCGUAAACGAUGAGAACUAGAUGUCGGGAGGAUUUAGCCUUUCGGUGUCGCAGCUAACGCGUUAAGUUCUCCGCCUGGGGAGUACGCCGGCAACGGUAAAACUCAAAGGAA
rnacentral:rRNA from 1 species